rnacentral:rRNA from 1 species
AGAGUUUGAUCCUGGCUCAGGAUGAACGCUAGCUACAGGCUUAACACAUGCAAGUCGAGGGGCAGCAUGGUCUUAGCUUGCUAAGGCCGAUGGCGACCGGCGCACGGGUGAGUAACGCGUAUCCAACCUGCCGUCCAGUAGGGGACAGCCCGUAGAAAUGCGGAUCAAUACCCUAUGUUCUCCGAGGAUGACAUCAGAUUCGGAGUAAAGAUUCAUCGCUGGACGAUGGGGAUGCGUCUGAUUAGGCAGCAGGCGGGGCAACGGCCCACCUGGCCGACGAUCAGUAGGGGUUCUGAGAGGAAGGUCCCCCACAUUGGAACUGAGACACGGUCCAAACUCCUACGGGAGGCAGCAGUGAGGAAUAUUGGUCAAUGGGCGCGAGCCUGAACCAGCCAAGUAGCGUGAGGGAAGACUGCCCUACGGGUUGUAAACCUCUUUUGUUCGGGAAUAAAGUGCGGCACGCGUGCCGUUUUGUAUGUACCGUUCGAAUAAGGACCGGCUAAUUCCGUGCCAGCAGCCGCGGUAAUACGGAAGGUCCAGGUGUUAUCCGGAUUUAUUGGGUUUAAAGGGAGCGCAGGCGGCCCGUUAAGCGUGACGUGAAAUGUAGUUGCUCAACAUCUGCACUGCGUCGCGAACUGGUGGGCUUGAGUUCACGGUAGGAAGGCGGAAUUCGUGGUGUAGCGGUGAAAUGCUUAGAUAUCACGAAGAACCCCGAUUGCGAAGGCAGCUUUCCGCAGUGUUACUGACGCUCAUGCUCGAAAGCGCGGGUAUCGAACAGGAUUAGAUACCCUGGUAGUCCGCGCGGUAAACGAU